GGGUUGUGAGGUUAAGCGACUAAGCGUACACGGUGGAUGCCCUGGCAGUCAGAGGCGAUGAAGGGCGUGCUAAUCUGCGAUAAGCGCCGGUAAGGUGAUAUGAACCGUUAUAACCGGCGAUACCCGAAUGGGGAAACCCAGUGUGAUUCGUCACACUAUCAUUAACUGAAUCCAUAGGUUAAUGAGGCGAACCGGGGGAACUGAAACAUCUAAGUACCCCGAGGAAAAGAAAUCAACCGAGAUUCCCCCAGUAGCGGCGAGCGAACGGGGAGGAGCCCAGAGCCUGAAUCAGCAUGUGUGUUAGUGGAAGCGUCUGGAAAGGCGCGCGAUACAGGGUGACAGCCCCGUACACAAAAGCGCAUGUGCUGUGAGCUCGAUGAGUAGGGCGGGACACGUGGUAUCCUGUCUGAAUAUGGGGGGACCAUCCUCCAAGGCUAAAUACUCCUGACUGACCGAUAGUGAACCAGUACCGUGAGGGAAAGGCGAAAAGAACCCCGGCGAGGGGAGUGAAAAAGAACCUGAAACCGUGUACGUACAAGCAGUGGGAGCACCCUUUGGGGUGUGACUGC
rnacentral:rRNA from 1 species